AAUGAGAAAAUACUAUCAGCUGCAAUAAGAUUAUUUCUUUUGAAAUCACAUUUUUCCCAAACAGAAAAAACAAGCACAAUUCUAUGAAAAUAUCGUGAAAGUAAUCAGACCCAAACCAGAUUAUUUUGCUGUUGGAUACUAUGGACAUGGAUUUCCAACAUUUCUACGGAAUAAAGUUUUCAUUUAUCGUGGAAAAGAAUAUGAGCGUCGCGAAGAUUUUGAGGCAAGGUUAUUAACCCAAUUUCCUAAUGCUGAGAAAAUGAAGACGACAUCUCCUCCAGGCGAAGAUCUUAAAAACUCCCCAGGGCAAUAUAUUCAAUGUUUUACUGUAAAACCAAAGCUUGAUUUACCACCAAAAUUCCACAGACCAGUAUCAGAACAAAUUUUAAGGUACCAUUAUUUAAACUAUACCAUUGCUAUAAAUGAAUAUAGUGGACUUGGCUGAAUGUAUUACCUGAUAAAAGGCCUGCAAAAUGCAACCAUACAUUGACAAAAUAGACAUAAAGAACAUAUUUAACACAGCCAUUGCUUUUUAAGCUUUGCUCUGGG
rnacentral:lncRNA from 11 species